UCCUUGGUAGUCCAGGGGUUAGGACUCGGCACUUUCACUGCUGUGGCCCAGGUUCAAUCCCUGGUCAGGGAA
rnacentral:tRNA from 1 species